UCAUGUUUAGCUCAAUCGGUAGAGCAUUAUUUUUGGGAAAUAAGUGUAGUUGGUUCAAUUCCAACAAUAUGAA
rnacentral:tRNA from 1 species